rnacentral:tRNA from 1 species
CAUUAAGUGUCUGAAUUGUAAGAAUUGAUCUCUUAAAUCAAUAUAUAGUAAUUAACAAAUACUCUUAAUGA